rnacentral:rRNA from 1 species
UCAGCCAAAACGAGGCACGGCAAACAGCUCAGUAACACGUGGCUAAUCUGCCCUUAGGACGCGAACAACCCCGGGAAACUGGGGCUAAUUCUCGAUAGGUGAAGAACUCUGGAAUGAGUCUUUGCCUAAAAGAGCUUACGUUAUGCUCGUAAGUUUCGCCUAAGGAUGAGGCCGCGACCGAUCAGGUUGUUGGUGUGGUAAUGGCUCACCAAGCCUUUUACCGGUGCGGGCCGUGAGAGCGGGAGCCCGGAGAUGGGCACUGAGACAAGGGCCCAGGCCCUACGGGGCGCAGCAGUCGCGAAAACUUUGCAAUACACGAAAGUGUGACAGGGCUAUCCCGAGUGCCAUCCGCUGAGGAAGGCUUUUACCCAGUCUAGAACGCUGGGGGAAUAAGGAGAGGGCAAGUCUGGUGUCAGCCGCCGCGGUAAUACCAGCUCUCCGAGUGGUGUGGAUGUUUAUUGGGCCUAAAGCAUCCGUAGCUGGCUAAGUUAGUCCCUUGUUAAAUCCACCGAAUUAAUCGUUGGAUUGCGGGGGAUACUGCUUGGCUAGGGGACGAGAGAGGCAGACGGUAUUUUCGGGGUAGGGGUGAAAUCCUAUAAUCCCGGGGAGACCACCAGUGGCGAAGGCUGUCUGCUAGAACGCGCCCGACGGUGAGGGAUGAAAGCUGGGGGAGCGAACCGGAUUAGAUACCCGGGUAGUCCCAGCUGUGAACGAUGCAGGCUAGGUGUUUGGACGGCCACGUGCCGUUCUAGUGCCGCAGGGAAGCUGUUAAGCCUGCCGCCUGGGGAGUACGAUCGCAAGAUUGAAACUUAA